rnacentral:rRNA from 1 species
UACGUAGGGUGCAGGCGUUAAUCGGAAUUACUGGGCGUAAAGCGUGCGCAGGCGGCUCUUUAAGUCAGAUGUGAAAUCCCCGAGCUUAACUUGGGAACUGCGUUUGAAACUGGAGAGCUAGAGUGCGGCAGAGGGGGGUGGAAUUCCACGUGUAGCAGUGAAAUGCGUAGAUAUGUGGAGGAACACCGAUGGCGAAGGCAGCCCCCUGGGCCUGCACUGACGCUCAUGCACGAAAGCGUGGGUAGCAAACAGG